CCCUAUGGGGUGCAGCAGGCGAGAAACCUUUGCAAUGUGCGCAAGCACGACAAGGUUAAUCCGAGUGUUUCCUGCUAAAGGAAUCUUUUGUUAGUUCUAAAACCACUGAUGAAUAAGAGGUGGGCAAGUUCUGGUGUCAGCCGCCGCGGUAAAACCAGCACCUCAAGUGGUCAGGAGGAUUAUUGGGCCUAAAGCAUCCGUAGCCGGUUCUGUAAGUUUUCGGUUAAAUCCACUAGCUCAACUAAUGGGCUGCCGAAAAUACUGCAGAACUAGGGAGUGGGAGAGGUAGACGGUACUCGGUAGGAAGGGGUAAAAUCCUUUGAUCUAUUGAUGACCACCUGUGGCGAAGGCGGUCUACCAGAACACGUUCGACGGUGAGGGAUGAAAGCUGGGGGAGCAAACCGGAUUAGAUACCCGGGUAGUCCCAGCUGUAAACGAUGCAGACUCGGUGAUGCACUGGCUUGUGGCCAGUGCAGUGCCGCAGGGAAGCCGUUAAGUUUGCCGCCUGGGAAGUACGUACGCAAGUAUGAAACUUAAAGGAAUUGGCGGGGGAGCGCCACAAGGGGUGAAGCCUGCGGUUCAAUUGGAGUCAACGCAGAAAUCUUACCCGAAGAGACAGCAGAAUGAAGGUCAAGCUGGAGACUUU
rnacentral:rRNA from 1 species